ACCAGGGGCGGGAUAYAGCAGCUGAGCGGACAGAAGGGAGCUUCCCGGAUUGCGGCGGACGGGUAGACACGUGGGACCUGCCUGAGACUGGGAUAACUCCGGGAAACCGGAGCUAAUACCGGAUAGUCCUUGAACCGCAUGGUUCAAGGAUGAAAGACGGUUUCGGCUGUCACUUACAGAUGGACCCGCGGCGCAUUAGCUAGUUGGUGGGGUAAUGGCUCACCAAGGCGACGAUGCGUAGCCGACCUGAGAGGGUGAUCGGCCACACUGGGACUGAGACACGGCCCAGACUCCUACGGGAGGCAGCAGUAGGGAAUCUUCCGCAAUGGACGAAAGUCUGACGGAGCAACGCCGCGUGAGUGAUGAAGGUUUUCGGAUCGUAAAGCUCUGUUGUUAGGGAAGAACAAGUGCGAGAGUAACUGCUCGCACCUUGACGGUACCUAACCAGAAAGCCACGGCUAACUACGUGCCAGCGCCGGGGUAAUACA
rnacentral:rRNA from 1 species